UUGUAUCACAAAGUCUCUGGGGAAUGUGAGACUCCCUUGCUCCCUACAUCCUUUCUUCCUGCUAGCUACUCCCCUUCGCAUGUAAGACUUCCUCAGAGAACCCUGCCCUGUUUCCUCACCACUUCCUUCCCAACCCAACUAGGUUUGGUUCUCCCUGUAUAUGUUCUCACAAGUCCCUGAACUUUUCUUUACAUUCUUUCAGUUUUAAAUACUGAUUUUGUGAUUAUUUAUUAAUGCCUGUCUUCCCUAAUAGACCAUAGGAUUUAUCAGAACUAGAAACAGCUUUCAUCAUAUUCACCACAAAUAUCCCCAUUUAUUGGCUCAAUCCUUGACACAUAUGGCCCUAAAAUUUUCUACAUGUAAAUAAAUAACACACUCCUUACUCCACCACAUUUAAAACCAUCCAAACAGAUAUUUUACCAAAAUACAUAUUCUUUAUCUCUGGCUAAAGCAAAGAUCAAAAUCUUUAUUUGAUCCUGAGCUAUGUUAUAUUCUGUUCCUCAUGAUUUUCCUCCCAUCCUAAUUCAUUUUGGAAUUAAAAACCAAAGCUCUGUGAUCUAGAAGGUAAUAAUUGUUUUUUUGAAAUUGAGGACAGCUGUAUGUUACAAGAAUUCAGUUCAUUCACAGUGUUGCUGAAAUGUACAUAGUAUUAUAUUUUUCUUACCCCUUUGUAAGCCUCUGGAAGAAUAAUAUACACCUGUCAGUUAAACAAAUAUGAUCAAAAAUUUUUAUUUCACAACUAGUCAUAUACUGAGUUUAGGUUAAAAAUUCACUAUUUCAUACAACUUUAUUAAGACAGGGACUGACUGUGGACCAUGGAUGGGAGGUGAAUUCAAAUCAAGUUCCAAUAAAAAGGCUCCAGCUCUUGCCACUGCUAUCCACCAUCUAACAGACACUACAGAUUCUUUCAUGGGCUCAUGCUGCAAUAUAUGCUGUUGUUCCAAUGGCAUGGGGUCCCUUUCUCCACUGUGUCUGCCUGAUAGAUCCAAUUCAUCUUAAAAAACUUACUUCAGUAGCUUUAUAAUGGACUCUUGAAAUCAUUUCAGAGCUCCCAUGACUGUCCCCUAAAUAAAAAGGCUUUCCUCAUUCA
rnacentral:lncRNA from 12 species